rnacentral:lncRNA from 1 species
ACAAUCUUGAGCUUUCUUCUAUAAGGAGUGCUUCCACUUAAGAUGUUUUUGUUUAAUCUUUCAGUUGAAACUAUAUUAUACCCUCCAGAAGACAGAAAGAAGGAGAAAAGUUAUGGAAUAGGGGCCACAGGAAUUUUCCACAUGGUGAAGAUACAAGGAAGCAGAGUCAUAAGCCAUUAAAGCAGACUUUUGUCAAUGCAGUCAUAUGGCCACAAGAGUGAGACAAAAGUGAAGUCUGAAAAUCUCUUACUGGCAGAGGAAGCUUCCCAAAAGAGAAAUGGGAGUGAGUGCAAAUCCUUCAGAGGAACCUGGCAACCUCAUGCAUUAC